rnacentral:rRNA from 1 species
CAGGGAAUCUUGCGCAAUGGGCGAAAGCCUGACGCAGCAACGCCGCGUGGGGGAUGAAGGCCUUCGGGUUGUAAACCCCUUUCAGGAGGGAAGAAAUUGACGGUACCUCCAAAAGAAGCCCCGGCCAACUACGUGCCAGCAGCCGCGGUAAUACGUAGGGGGCAAGCGUUGUCCGGAAUUAUUGGGCGUAAAGAGCUCGUAGGCGGCUCAGCAAGUCGGCUGUGAAAUCCCGAGGCUCAACCUCGGAACUGCAGUCGAUACUGCUGUGGCUAGAGUCUGGUAGAGGAGAAUGGAAUUCCCGGUGUAGCGGUGGAAUGCGCAGAUAUCGGGAGGAACACCAGUAGCGAAGGCGGUUCUCUGGGCCAGCACUGACGCUGAGGAGCGAAAGCGUGGGUAGCAAACAGGAUUAGAUACCCCCGUAGUCC